rnacentral:rRNA from 1 species
UUGAGAAUCAGGGUUCGAUUCCGGAGAAGGAGCUUGAGAAUUGGCUACUACAUCUAAGGAAGGCAGCAGGCGCGCAAAUUACCCAAUCCCGAUUCGGGGAGGUAGUGACAAAGAAUAACAAUACCGGGCCUUUUUGGGCUUGGUAAUUGGAAUGAGGGAGAGUUAAACGGACCAUCGAGUAUCCAUUGGAGGGCAAGUCUGGUGCCAGCAGCUGCGGUAAUACCAGCUCCAAUAGCGUAUAUUAAAGUUGUUGCAGUUAAAAAGCUCGUAGUUGGACUUGUGUGCGCUGUCCGCGGGUGGCCUGCGCCCAAAAGGGCGUUUCGGUUCGGCCCCGGUGGCGCCUUGAAAUCUGCAGCUGGGGGGACGUUGGCCUUAACUGGUCGGCGACCGCACGCCGGCUGCUCGGUUACUGUGAGAAAAUUAAAGUGUUCAAGGCAGGCAUUGGGUGCAAUUGAAUACAUUAGCAUGGAAUAAUAAAAUAUGGCUCCUGCCGUAUUUUGUUGGUUUUGACUGGUGGGAGUAAUGAUUGAUAGGGACGGUUGGGGGUGCUAGUAUUGAGCGGCCAGAGGUGAAAUUCAUGGAUUCGCUCAAGACUAACUUAUGCGAAAGCAUUCACCAAGGACGUCCUCUUUAAUCAAGAACGAAAGUUGGGGGAUCGAAGACGACCAGAUACCGUCGUAGUCUCAACCAUAAACUAUGUCGACUUGGGAUCGGCGGUAGUUUUUUCAUUAAGACACUGUCGGGACCACGGGAGAAAUCAAAGUGUCUGGACUCUGGGGGAAGUAUGGUCGCAAGGCUGAAACUUGAAGGAAUUGACGGAAGGGCACCACCAGGAGUGGAGCCUGCGGCUUAAUUUGACCCAACACGGGGAAACUUACCAGGUCCAGAGAUGUAGAGGAUUGACAGAUUGAAGCUCUUUCUUGAUCACUUCGGUGGUGGUGCAUGGCCGUUCUUAGUUGGUGGAGUGAUUUGUCUGGUUAAUUCCGUUAACGAACGAGACCUCAGCCUGCUAGUGUAGUCGGCUGGAUUGCCUUUGGCGAUCCGUGAUUUCGACUUCUUAGAGGGACAAUCGACGCGCAGUCGAUGGAAGUUUGAGGCAAUAACAGGUCUGUGAUGCCCUUAGAUGUUCUGGGCCGCACGCGCGCUACACUGCUGGGCUCAGCGAGUUUUACUUGGCCGAGAGGCCCGGUUAAUCUUGUGAAAUCCCAGCGUGCUUGGGCUCGCCUCCUGCAACUGGAGGCGCCAACGAGGAAUUCCUAGUAGACGCAGGUCAUCAACCUGCAUCGAUUACGUCCCUGCCCUUUGUACACACCGCCCGUCGUUCCAUAAGAGUGAGGCAUCCGGUGAAUUCUCGGGAGAGCCUGGGCGUGGCCAGCAAUGGUCUGCUCGGGUUUGAACUUGCAUAAACUUGGUGCCUAUGAUUAGGGAAAAGUCGUAACAAGGUU